rnacentral:rRNA from 1 species
UACGUAGGGUGCAAGCGUUGUCCGGAAUUAUUGGGCGUAAAGAGCUCGUAGGCGGUUUGUCGCGUCCGCUGUGAAAACUCGGGGCUUAACCCCGGGCCUGCAGUGGGUACGGGCAGACUAGAGUGCGGUAGGGGAGACUGGAAUUCCUGGUGUAGCGGUGAAAUGCGCAGAUAUCAGGAGGAACACCGGUGGCGAAGGCGGGUCUCUGGGCCGUAACUGACGCUGAGGAGCGAAAGCGUGGGGAGCGAACAGG